AUGGAGCCCCUUCGGCCCUGCCCGGGAGGCAUGCACUGCAUGACCACGGACGCCGACGAGAGCCGGUGGUGCUGGCUGCCUUUCUCCGGCUCCUCGCGGUGCUUCUGGAGCGCAGACCCUGACUCGCCCCCCUUCUUCCCCGAGGCGAUGGUGGCGCACGCGGAGGCCGGGCGCGCCAUCUUCGUGUCCGCGAGCGGGUUUCACGACGACGUCCGGACCUUCUCCUACGACAGGACGAGCAGCACGUGGACGCGCUGCGGCGGCUGGGCGCUGCCGUUCGUAGGCCGCGCCGGCUAUGACGGCGAGCUGGACGCCUGGGUGGGGCUCCACCGCAAGGGCUACGACACGGACGGGCACCUCUGUGUCUGCCGCGUUCCAGUUCCGACGAGCGACCUCGACCGGACCCCGCAACCGCAGUGGAAGGUCGGCGGGGAGAAGGUGCUCCUCCAGCACCCGGACUGGAGGCACGUCGACGCCAAGCUCGUGCACAUGGCGGAGCGCGGCGAGCACUGCCUCGUCGAGCGCCUGCGACGCGAGGGGACGGACGAGAAAGAGCGCCUGCCCAACGGCGACGAGUGCCUGCUCCGACUGACCACGUUUCAAGUCAGGUACGGUGACGACGGGGAGCUCAUCACGACCGCGGACCGUCGGUACGGCCGCUUUUACAAGGUGUCGAGGUACCGCGAUGGCUUUGAGGUUGCAGCGUUCUGGAUAUGA
rnacentral:rRNA from 1 species